UGUGGGAGCUGGCUUGCCUGCGAUAGCAUCGCUUCGGUCUACUUGAUACAUCGAGGCGUCUGCAUCGCAGGCAAGCCAGCUCCCACA
rnacentral:misc_RNA from 1 species